rnacentral:rRNA from 1 species
CGUAGGGUGCGAGCGUUGUCCGGAAUUACUGGGCGUAAAGAGCUCGUAGGCGGUUUGUCGCGUCGUCUGUGAAAACUCGCAGCUCAACUGUGGGCGUGCAGGCGAUACGGGCAGACUUGAGUACUGCAGGGGAGACUGGAAUUCCUGGUGUAGCGGUGAAAUGCGCAGAUAUCAGGAGGAACACCGGUGGCGAAGGCGGGUCUCUGGGCAGUAACUGACGCUGAGGAGCGAAAGCGUGGGUAGCAAACAGGAUU